AGGACUUAGCCAGCUUUGUGAAC
rnacentral:miRNA from 1 species